rnacentral:rRNA from 1 species
UACAGAGGGUGCGAGCGUUACUCGGAAUUACUGGGCGUAAAGCGUGCGUAGACGGUUAUUUAAGUCGGGUGUGAAAGCCCCGGGCUCAACCUGGGAAUUGCAUUCGAGACUGAAUAGCUAGGGUACGGUAGAGGGAAGCGGAAUUUCCGGUGUAGCGGUGAAAUGCGUAGAUAUCUGGAGGAAUACCGGUGGCGAAGGCGGCAUCCUGGACCGACAUUGACGCUGAUGAGCGAAAGCUAGGGGAGCAAACGGG